ensembl:lncRNA
AUUUUAAUGUUUAAAUUAUGAAUAAAAAAAAUUAAUAAAGUGUUUGACAAUAUAUAUUUUUUUUUUAGUUAUGUGUAAAUAUAUACAUAUACAUAUAUAUAUACAUACAUAUACACAUUUUUUUUUUAUUUUAUAUAUUUUUUUUUUGUCUCGAAAAUAAGAAAAUUAAUUACUUAUUCUUUCUUUUUACCCUGCAACUUUUUCAAUUUGUUAAUAUUUUUAAGAACUUACUAUUUUUAUAUGUUUACUUUUUUUUUAUUAUAAAUAAACAAAUUAAAUAAAACUUUGUAUUUUUUUUGAAUGAUUUUUUUUUUUUUUUUGAAUGAUUUUUUUUUGUCAUUGAAAGAAAAAAAUAACAUAAAGAAAAAAGAAAAAAAAAAAAGUAUGUGUAGUAAAAAAAUAAAAGGGUGUUAAAAAGAUAGCAUAAACAAAUUAUGUGAAUAACUAACACAUUAUUAAGGUAAUAUAAGAAAGGUGGAGAUAGUGUAAAAAAUAAAACAAAAAAGAAAAGAAAUUAAAAAAAAAAAACACACACAGAGUGCUAGUAAACGCUAUAGUAAAUGUAGUAACAGGUGCAGUGACAAGUGCAGUAGCAAAUACAGUAGCAAAUACAGUAGCAAAUGCAGUAGCAAAUGCAGUAGCAAAUGCAGUAGCAAAUGCAGUAGCAAAUGCAGUAGCAAGUGCAGUAACAAAUGCAGUAGCAAGUGCAGUAACAAGUGCAGUAACAAGUGCAGUAACAAAUGCAGUAACACAAAAUGGAUAAUCUACACAAACAUACCUUCAACAGCAUGAUACGUUUUUAUAAUAACAUUUUUAACAAUGUGCCCAUGUUUUGUACGAAUUUAAUGCUUUACAAUUUUGAUGAUAAGUUAAUAUUUACUUUGCUUAAAAUUUAUAUGAAUAUAUUUAAAAAAUACAAAGAAAAAAAAAAAAAUAUUAAUGAUAAGGAUUAUUUUAUCAUUUUUAAUUAUGUUAUUUUUUCUUAUUUUGGCUUCUCCCCCUCUGAAUUGAAUAAGAGCAGCGGUACUACAAUUUUUGAUUAUCCUCACAAAUGUAACGAAAAUUAUAUUUCAUUUAAAUGCUUUCAGAAAAAAAAGAAAAGAAAAAAAAAAAGACAUGAACAUUUAUCAAAUUUGGGAAAAUUAACAAAGUCUAAAUUAAUUAAUAAUUGUGAUAUAAAUUUAAAAAAAAGUUUAACAGAGUUAGGCUUUAACACUUAUUUACGUAAUUUUAGACAUUACCAAUAUUAUAACAAAAGAAAACAAACUAUCACUCAAAACAAAAAGUUAAUUAAAAAUAAACAUAAAUCAAACAAAACAGAGCAUUUUUAUAAAAAGCAAUGCUGUAAUGAAAGAAAUACCAACAGCGUUGAUACUCAAUUGGGUGGUAAUAUAACUCCCAAAAGGAAUCGGGUGUAUAAUAACAAUAAUAAUAACAAUAAUAAUAAUAAUAAUAAUAAUAAUAAUAAUAAUAAUAAUAAUAAUAAUAUUUUAAUAAAGUAUUUCAAAUGUACCGACACAUUUAACAACCAUACCGACAUCCUAAACGAUCUUACUAGCUUACCAAAAAAAAAUAAACAAAAGAUACAAUACGCAUACAGCAGCAUAAAUGUAAAAACGAAACAAAAUUUUAUUAACCAAUUAAAAAAGUUAUAUACAUACUACUAUUACUGUAAAUGUCUAAACGAACUGUACAUAAAAUGUAAACAUAAUUGUGUUGAUUAUAAUAAUAAUAACUAUUGGAAUAUUUUUAAAAAUAUAUAUAAUUUGUAUAAACAUAUGAAUAAAAUGUAUUCCACAAACCUAUCCAAUAUGAAUACAAAAAAAGAACAACUAUCAAUUACUCAUAACAUUGAAAUGGAAAAUAUUAUAAAUGAAAAAAAUAUAAACACAAAAAAUGAAGAAUACCAACAAAAAAUUAAUGAUUUAGUAUAUAAACAUAUAGCUGAAAAAAAAGCUUUAUGUAGACAUAUAGAAUACGAGUUAAAUAAUAUGCAACAUUCAAAUAUAAAGCAAUAUAAAGAAAAUGUACUUAACAUUUUUAACAUUAUGCAAAAUAAAAAAUACAAGCUAAUGUUACCUGUGUUACCUACAGAGGAAAAUAAAUAUGGGCAUGUAAAAUGUAAAGACAAAAGUGGUGGUUGUAAUAAAAAGAGUGGCGACAACUGCAACAGUCACGACAAACAGGACGAGCAGGACGAACCGGACGGACAGGACGGACAGGACGAACAGGACGAACAUGAAAGACACGCUACGUACUUGCUGAACAAUUUUAAUUUUUUUUAUUUUUACAAAUUAAUCAAAAGCAAUAUAAAUGUAUAUAAGUAUCUUCAUUUUUAUCUCAAAAAUUCUAUGCAUAAUACCAUGGAUAUUACUAUAAUUUUUAGUCUUGGAGAGGUGGCUCAUAUAUUUGAAAAGAAUAAUAAACACAAAAAUAAGAAAAUAAAAAAAAAAUUUAAAAAGAGAUUAAAAAGUAUAGAAAAGAGAUAUUAUUCACACAA